AAUCAACGCUGGCGGCGUGCCUCAGACAUGCAAGUCGAACGAUUAAAGCUCUCUUCGGAGAGUGCAUAGAGUGGCGCACGGGUGAGUAACACGUAAGUAAUCUACCUUCGAGUGGGGAAUAACGUCCGGAAACGGGCGCUAAUACCGCAUAAUGCAGCGGCAUCGCAAGAUGACAGUUGUUAAAGGAGCAAUCCGCUUGAAGAGGAGCUUGCGGCAGAUUAGCUAGUUGGUAGGGUAAUGGCCUACCAAGGCUACGAUCUGUAACCGGUCUUAGAGGACGGUCGGUCACACUGACACUGAAUAACGGGUCAGACUCCUACGGGAGGCAGCAGUCGGGAAUUUUGGGCAAUGGGGGAAACCCUGACCCAGCAACGCCGCGUGAAGGAUGAAGUAUUUCGGUAUGUAAACUUCGAAAGAAUAGGAAGAAUUAAUGACGGUACUAUUUAUAAGGUCCGGCUAACUACGUGCCAGCAGCCGCGGUAAAGUAUCG
rnacentral:rRNA from 1 species